rnacentral:tRNA from 1 species
AUUUUUAAAGCGAUAUCGCAAUAAGUUUCGACCUUAUCUUAGAUUUUUUUAAUCUAAAAAUA